rnacentral:misc_RNA from 1 species
CAAAUGCGAAACGUAUUGUGACAUGCCAUCUUUGAGAAACAACGAAUAUUUGAACGCACCUUGCGUCCGCGGGCCAGUGCGCGCGGGCAUACUUGAUUGAGCAUCGACAGCAGUCGCCCACCGCGUUGUGCGUGCGUGGCGUGGACGUGGCGGUCGUGUGCGUUGCAUGCGACGGCUGAAAGACAGCGUGGCGCAGGGCGCGCCGUGGGAUACGCGCAUGGCGUCAGCACGGCGCAUACCAGGCACACAUCAGGAUGGGUGGGUGCCGAGCACCAGAAUCGGGUGCAAAGCACCCGCCAGUAACCAGCAAAAGAGAUCUCAGUCAAGUAGGACGACCCGCUGAACUUAA